rnacentral:tRNA from 1 species
GAUUUAUUAGCUCAGUGGUUAGAGCGUAGGUUUUGUAAGCAGAGGGUCCCGGGAUCGAAUCCCGACGAAGGCA